AUGCGUUGUUGGGUAGGGGAGCGUUCUGUAAGCCUGCGAAGGUGUGCUGUGAGGCAUGCUGGAGGUAUCAGAAGUGCGAAUGCUGACAUAAGUAACGAUAAAGCGGGUGAAAAGCCCGCUCGCCGGAAGACCAAGGGUUCCUGUCCAACGUUAAUCGGGGCAGGGUGAGUCGACCCCUAAGGCGAGGCCGAAAGGCGUAGUCGAUGGGAAACAGGUUAAUAUUCCUGUACUUGGUGUUACUGCGAAGGGGGGACGGAGAAGGCUAUGUUGGCCGGGCGACGGUUGUCCCGGUUUAAGCGUGUAGGCUGGUUUUCCAGGCAAAUCCGGAA
rnacentral:rRNA from 1 species